UUGACCUCAGCUCAGGCGUGAUUACCCGCUGAAUUUAAGCAUAUAACUAAGCGGAGGAAAAGAAACUAACGCAGGAUC
rnacentral:rRNA from 1 species